rnacentral:rRNA from 1 species
UACGUAGGGCGCAAGCGUUGUCCGGAAUUAUUGGGCGUAAAGGGCUCGUAGGCGGUUUGUCGCGUCGGGGAGUGAAAACCUUGGGCUUAACUCAGGGCUUGCUUUCGAUACGGGCAGACUAGAGGUAUGCAGGGGAGAACGGAAUUCCUGGUGUAGCGGUGAAAUGCGCAGAUAUCAGGAGGAACACCGGUGGCGAAGGCGGUUCUCUGGGCAUAAUCUGACGCUGAGGAGCGAAAGUGUGGGGAGCGAACAGG